UGGGGAAUAUUGCACAAUGGGCGCAAGCCUGAUGCAGCCAUGCCGCGUGUGUGAAGAAGGCCUUCGGGUUGUAAAGCACUUUCAGGGGGAGGAAGGCGAUAAGGUUAAUAACCUUGUCGAUUGACGUUACCCGCAGAAGAAGCACCGGCUAACUCCGUGCCAGCAGCCGCGGUAAUACGGAGGGUGCAAGCGUUAAUCGGAAUUACUGGGCGUAAAGCGCACGCAGGCGGUCUGUCAAGUCGGAUGUGAAAUCCCCGGGCUCAACCUGGGAACUGCAUUCGAAACUGGCAGGCUAGAGUCUUGUAGAGGGGGGUAGAAUUCCAGGUGUAGCGGUGAAAUGCGUAGAGAUCUGGAGGAAUACCGGUGGCGAAGGCGGCCCCCUGGACAAAGACUGACGCUCAGGUGCGAAAGCGUGGGGAGCAAACAGG
rnacentral:rRNA from 1 species